GACGAACGCUGGCGGCGUGCCUAACACAUGCAAGUCGAACGAAGCACUGCGGAAAGAGACUUCGGUCAAUGGAAGCUUUGACUUAGUGGCGGACGGGUGAGUAAACGCGUGAGGAACCUGCCUUUCAGUGGGGGACAACAGUUGGAAACGACUGCUAAUACCGCAUAAAGUGCUUUGGGGGCAUCCCCGGAACACCAAAGAUUAUUGCUGAAAAGAUGGCCUCGCGUCUGAUUAGAUAGUUGGUGGGUAACGGCCUACCAAGUCGACGAUCAGUAGCCGGACUGAGAGGUUGAACGGCCACAUUGGGACUGAGAUACGGCCAGACUCCUACGGGAGGCAGCAGUGGGAAUAUUGGGCAAUGGGGAAACCCUGACCCAGCAAACGCCGCGUGAAGGAAGAAAGGC
rnacentral:rRNA from 1 species